UUGAGUAGUUAAUUAACAGGGAUUGGAAACGGGAUCACGUGCGACAAUGACUCCAACGUUGCCUCUUGAAACCAUCCGUGUUACGGUUCAGAGUGCAAUAGGCAGUGGUCGUUAACCUCCAGCAGCAACUAAAACCAUGCUAAAACUCCUCUUCUCCAGCUUCUAAAGUUAGGCUGAGUACAACCCAGCCUAUAAAUCUCUAGUGUUCAUCAUUUGGAACCACAUUAGUUGUGAAUUUGUCCAAGUUUGAGUUUCAAGACGACCCUACAACACUUUUAUAUGCCUUGAAGACCCAAAUUCCAACAUCAUCAGGCAAAUACAAGAAAAAAUAACUUCAGAAAAAGAUUAUGGGAUCCCUAUAUAAGUUAAAAAGUCAUAAAAGAACAAGAAAGUUUUUUCGUAUUUUUUUUUGUUUUUGUAACUUUUCCAUACAAGCUUCAUUUCAGUUUAUAUUUCACAAAAAUGUCAUAAAUAUCACAAUAAUAAUGGCCAAUAGACAGUUGAUAUUUCCAAA